GACCUCAAAUCAGGUAGGACUACCCGCUGAACUUAAGCAUAUCAAUAAGCGGAGGAAAAGAAACUAACAAGGAUUCCCCUAGUAACUGCGAGUGAAGCGGGAAGAGCUCAAAUUUUGAAUCUGGCAGUCCUUGGCUGUCCGAGUUGUAAUCUAGAGAAGUGUUUUCCGCGCCGGACCGUGUAUAAGUCUCCUGGAAGGGAGCGUCGUAGAGGGUGAGAAUCCCGUCUUUGACACGGACUACCAGUGCUAUGUGAUGCGCUCUCGACGAGUCGAGUUGUUUGGGAAUGCAGCUCAAAACGGGUGGUAAACUCCAUCUAAAGCUAAAUACAGGCGAGAGACCGAUAGCGAACAAGUACCGUGAGGGAAAGAUGAAAAGAACUUUGGAAAGAGAGUUAAACAGUACGUGAAAUUGCUGAAAGGGAAACGCUUGAUGUCAGUCGCGUUGGCUGGGGAUCAACCUUGCUUCGCGCUGGGUGUACUUCCCGGUCGACGGGUCAGCAUCAGUUUCAGUCGCCGUACAAGGGCGAGGGGAACGUGGCACUCCUCGGAGUGUGUUAUAGCCUUUCGUCGUAUGCGGCGGUCGGGACUGAGGUGCUCAGCACAGCUUCUUGCUUGUGCUCAGGAUGCUGGCAUAAUGGCCUUAAGCGACCCGUCUG
rnacentral:rRNA from 1 species